AGAAAUGAAGUUCCACUUUAAAGAUGGGCAUCCAUACUUAAUAGAUACAUAGCUUUACUGCUUAUUAAUAAUUGAGAAAUGAUCAGUUAAUUUGUCCAAUGUGAACCUGGGUAUGUAACUUCAAAGACUGGUAGGGUAAAUUUUCAGGCUUUGCUUUACAUUUUAUUCCGAAAUAGUGUAAGUGUUUCUGUGGGUAAAUGUUCUAAAGCUUAUUUUUCUGUUAAAUUAAAAAGCAACUUGAUUCAUUUGGCUAAAUGGAUGUAUUCAUGAUCUGUUAGCCCUGUAACCAAACUUUCACUUGAUGCUAUUUUUAAGUGCAGCUUCAAAUGGGCUGGCCAUUUGAAAUUAAGCGCCUCUUUCUCCUUACAUAAUUGCUAAAGCAAUAUGACACAUUAUUAUCAGAGAAGCUCUUAUACUAAGUGGAUUUUAAUGUAUUUGUGUAUUAUCUAUGGCAGAGGGCAGAGAGGUGACCAGAAAGUGAUCUGAGUGCCUACAUUAUUCUGACUGAACUCUGCAGUAUUAUUUUGGCUUACGUCAAUCUUUUUUCCAGUGGAAUUUUCCAACGCUUCAGAACUGCCAGAUACAGAGCACAGUAGCUGUCACAGGAGAGGAUCUUGGUGAUUAGAAGGAUCUGGGGCCCCGGUGAAGCCAUCUGGCCCACACAAAUAAUCUAGGAUAACCUCUAUUUUAAGAUGUAGAAUUUGUACUUCUAGACUGCCUUCUUCUACUCUCUGUCAUCAGGGUGCCUUAGGAACAUGUCAUCACUUUCAAUUUUUUAUCAUAAAGCUAAUCUCUUAACUCAGGCGAAAGACCUGGCAGGCAAAGCAUGUCAUGGUGGGAACUGAAACCCCUUCAAGCAAGAAUUACAUUCCUGACACCAGCAAGAACCCACAUGAUUGAUCCCAAGACAACGAUCCACCUGACCUUUACUGCCCAGCUGCAUGUACCCACCAACAUAUGUCCCACAGUUUCCUCAUAUAAACCUAGGUGCUGUUGGGCCCUGGACCCUGGUUACAACUUGAGUCUGAAGACCCCAAACUGGGGUGCAAAAAGUACAUAAAUAUUAUGGCUGCAUGUUUAUUGGGGUCUCUCCAUCAUGGACAAAGAGAUGUAACAGAGGAAUGUAGGUGUGAUGCAGUCAUUGGGGGUCAGUCAGAAUAUGGGACUCAGUCUCAGAGAGUCAACCAGUGCCUGGGGAGUUGGGAUUAUUGUCUUGUGACUCGGGCCUGUGGGGCCUCUCUCUCCUGAGAUCUAGGCAAAGUUUUAGGUCAGCACUGAUAAUCAACAGAAAUAGGACAGUAUAUUCAUGACCACCAACAUGAGAGUUUACAUAAACAAAGAAGAAGACAGUCAACUUGCAGUGGACUGUCCCACCACACCACCCACAUAAUAUUAAUCAGAUGAGAGUCAGGAGUGAGCAAUAGGAGAUCAAGAUCCUUGCUUCCCACAUGUCGACCCCACAGCCCCACACAAACUUGAUAGCAGUGGAACCACACCUUUAGCCUUGAGGGGAAGGGCAGUGCUGUGCUUCUCUGAAGGAGGAGUGUGUGUGUGUGUGUGUGUGUGUGUGUGUGUGUGUGAUUUGUAGUGUUUGAUUAUCACCACAGUAUAAAUAUCCCGUCAGGGCCAAUUUGGAAUUCCAACAAGACAUCACUGAACUCUGAGUUGGGAAAGAGAUGUGCACGGUAGGCUCUUAUGAGGUGGUGAGAGCCUUGAGUACAGUGUAAGAUUAUAUUUCUAUGAUGGAAAACACUCAGAAUUGGCCAAGAUGAGAUUAUUUUACUAACUGAAAAGGGAUAGCCUCAGAUUGAGGAGUUGCCAAGGUUCCUGGUAGAUAGAUACCCACUGAACAGGAUGCAAUUGGUAGCAAUUGCUUAAAAAAGUAAGAAUGAUUUUUCAUGUUUAUAACUUAAGGAGUAGGGAUUUGCAAGGAACCCAGUCUUAGAAUUCUUGAAUGCACAGCCAAGAGUAACCAAGACAGGGAGUUCCCUAAACAAAGAGGGACCUCAAAGUUAGCAUAGUUACCCAGAGCUAAAUCUGAAAGAAUUGAACAGUAGUUGGAAUAUAGCUUUAAUGACUGCUGGUGGGGGUUGGGGGAACAUCUAUCUCUCAUGAGUGGCAUUGGGGGAGGGUUCUGGACACAAAUCCUUGGCACGUUGAAUUAUCAAGUCUGAAACCAGUCAUCUAUGAUUCUCUGAAUGGCUGGCCUAUUACUAGAAAAAGGCAAUAGAAGAAUACCCCUCACCCUAGCCAUUGUCCUGAAGGCAUUGGAAGAAAAAGAGAAACCCAUGAGAAAUAAUUUGUAAGCCUGGGCUCUUUGCAUAAAAACUAAUAUGUAAUUGGUAUACUCUCGGAAGGUAGGUGAGGCAGAGCAAAAACAAUUGUAGAGACAAAUAUUCGCAGCCCAGGCACAUGAACUGCCCACCAAUGCCAGUUUCCUUGGGGCUGAUCUCACAGACAUAACAACCCACUCAAGGAAAUGCAUCACUCUGAAGUGAAUGGAAAUUCUGGAAAUAAAAGUAUAGUUACUGCAUUAAAAUAAAAUAAACACUCAGUGAGUGUGCUAAAUAGUACAUUAGACAGGCGUGGCUAUGAAAUUGGAUAGAUUUGAGAAAAGUAUCCAGAAUCCAGCAUAAGAAGUAAGAAAUGGAAAAUACAAAAGGUCCAGCUCCAUACAGUACAGAGUAAGAUCUGAUCAGCACCACACAGAAGUCCAAUGUGUAAAAAUAGAGGAGGGGACAGCUAACAAAUAGCAGAACAAAUAAGUCAUGCCCAGGGGAAAGGGGUCUUAUGCCUAAAUGCUUGAUGUCAUUCUUUUCCCAUUCUCUGCUCUUCUCUCUCCUACGGUCAUUGCAUGUAUUCCCACAGCUGUAAUUACUAUCAAUAUGGUGGUGGCUCAAACAUAUAUACCCUUGAUCCAGACCUUACUUUUGAAGUCCAGACUUAUAUAUCCACCUAAGUAUAUCCAUUUAUAUAUUUCACAUGCAUCUAUAAAUAAGCCUGAUGAGGAGUGCCUGGGUGACUCAUUUGGUUAAGUGUCCAACUCUUGAUUUGGGCUCAGGUCAUGAUCUCA